UACGUAGGCAGCGAGCGUUGUUCGGAGUUACUGGGCGUAAAGGGUGCGUAGGCGGCUUCUUAAGUUUGGUGUGAAAUCUCCCGGAUCAACUGGGAGGGUGCGCCGGAUACUGAGGAGCUAGAGUGCGGGAGGGGAAAGUGGAAUUCCUGGUGUAGCGGUGAAAUGCGUAGAUAUCAGGAGGAACACCGGUGGUGUAAACGGCUUUCUGGACCGUAACUGACGCUGAGGCACGAAAGCGUGGGGAGCAAACAGG
rnacentral:rRNA from 1 species